CCUGUAUAUAGCCUCGUUAUUGUCAUUCUUAUUGUGUUACUUUUUAUUAUAACUUUUUUAUUUUAGUCUACUUGGUAAAUAUUUUCUUAACCAACACUACAGUUCAAGAAGAGGGCUGGUCAGUAAGCAUUUCGCGCUAAGGUCUACACUUGUUGUAUUCGGCAUUUCACUGUAUGGUCUACUACACUUGUUGUAUUCGGCAUUUCACUGUAAGGUCUACUACACUUGUUGUAUUCGGCAUUUCACUGUAAGGUCUACUACACCUGUUGUAUUCAGCAUUUCACUGUAAGGUCUACUACACCUGCUGUAUUCGGCAUUUCACUGUAAGGUCUACUACACUUGUUGUAUUCGGCAUUUCACUGUAAGGUCUACUACACCUGUUGUAUUCGGCAUUUCACUGUAAGGUCUACUACACUUGUUGUAUUCGGCAUUUCACUGUAAGGUCUACUACACCUGUUGUAUUCGGC